rnacentral:rRNA from 1 species
UACGUAUGGAGCAAGCGUUAUCCGGAUUUACUGGGUGUAAAGGGAGCGCAGGCGGCUUUGCAAGUCUGAUGUGAAAGGCCGGGGCUCAACCCCGGGACUGCAUUGGAAACCGUAAAGCUAGAGUGCCGGAGAGGUAAGCGGAAUUCCUAGUGUAGCGGUGAAAUGCGUAGAUAUUAGGAGGAACACCAGUGGCGAAGGCGGCUUACUGGACGGCAACUGACGCUGAGGCUCGAAAGCGUGGGGAGCAAACAGG